CCCAUUUUUAUUUUACUACAUGGAAUUCAGUAGCUCUAACAUAAUGUAUGACUCUGUGAAUAUUUCCAGGAUUGCUAAUAUUUUAUCUAAUAUUAUAUCUUAUGUUUUCUGAUCUCCGACCCUUGUUGAUACUCCCAGGACCUUUAUGAGCAUUGCUUACUAUGAUAACCCUUGGUAGAAGCAGGAUUAAAUCGAAGUUAAAUCAUCUAUGGCUAGAAUCUUUCAAAGAGGACUCUCAGGAUUGAGCAGGACUUGCAAUCAGUUGUAUGACUAUACAGAGUGGAUAUUAAAUUUAUGGGACUUUUAAAAUCAUUAAAGAGCAGAUUUCCCCACAAGCAUGAUUUUUCUUUUCCCAAUGAAUUAAAAAACAAACCUGAGUACUCAAAAAGAAGAAGAAGAAGAAAAAGAAGAAGAAGGAGAAGAAGAAGAAGAAAUGAAGUCACAACCCAACGUAAGACACACACCUAAAAUUUAG
rnacentral:lncRNA from 1 species